UACGGAGGGCGCAAGCGUUGUUCGGAAUCAUUGGGCGUAAAGCGCGUGUAGGCGGUCUGGUCAGUCGGGUGUGAAAUACCGGAGCUCAACUCCGGAACUGCAUUCGAUACUGCCAGGCUAGAGUCCCGGAGAGGGUGGUGGAAUUCCCGGUGUAGAGGUGAAAUUCGUAGAGAUCGGGAGGAACACCAGCGGCGAAGGCGGCCACCUGGACGGUGACUGACGAUGAGACGCGAAAGAGUGGGGAGCAAACAGG
rnacentral:rRNA from 1 species